GUUUGAUCCUGGCUCAGGAUGAACGCUGGCGGCGUGCUUAACACAUGCAAGUCGAACGAUCCUUCGGGAUAGUGGCGGACGGGUGAGUAACGCGUGGGAAUCUGCCCUCAGGAGGGGGAUAACGGCUGGAAACGGCCGCUAAUACCCCAUAUGCCGAGAGGUGAAAUGAAUUUCGCCUGAGGAUGAGCCCGCGUCUGAUUAGCUAGUUGGUGGGGUAAAGGCCUACCAAGGCAACGAUCAGUAGCUGGUCUGAGAGGAUGAUCAGCCACACUGGGACUGAGACACGGCCCAGACUCCUACGGGAGGCAGCAGUGGGGAAUUUUCCGCAAUGGGCGAAAGCCUGACGGAGCAACGCCGCGUGAGGGAUGAAGGCCUCUGGGCUGUAAACCUCUUUUCUCAAGGAAGAAGACCUGACGGUACUUGAGGAAUAAGCCACGGCUAAUUCCGUGCCAGCAGCCGCGGUAAUACGGGAGUGGCAAGCGUUAUCCGGAAUUAUUGGGCGUAAAGCGUCCGCAGGCGGCCUUGUAAGUCUGUUGUUAAAGCGUGGAGCUCAACUCCAUUUAAGCAAUGGAAACUACAAGGCUGGAGUGUGGUAGGGGCAGAGGGAAUUCCCGGUGUAGCGGUGAAAUGCGUAGAUAUCGGGAAGAACACCAGUGGCGAAGGCGCUCUGCUGGGCCAUAACUGACGCUCAUGGACGAAAGCCAGGGGAGCGAAAGGGAUUAGAUACCCCUGUAGUCCUGGCCGUAAACGAUGAACACUAGGUGUCGGGGGAAUCGACCCCCUCGGUGUCGUAGCCAACGCGUUAAGUGUUCCGCCUGGGGAGUACGCACGCAAGUGUGAAACUCAAAGGAAUUGACGGGGGCCCGCACAAGCGGUGGAGUAUGUGGUUUAAUUCGAUGCAACGCGAAGAACCUUACCAGGGUUUGACAUCCUGCGAACCCCUGAGAAAUCGGGGGGUGCCUUCGGGAGCGCAGAGACAGGUGGUGCAUGGCUGUCGUCAGCUCGUGUCGUGAGAUGUUGGGUUAAGUCCCGCAACGAGCGCAACCCACGUCUUUAGUUGCCAGCAUUCAGUUGGGCACUCUAGAGAGACCGCCGGUGAUAAACCGGAGGAAGGUGUGGAUGACGUCAAGUCAUCAUGCCCCUUACAUCCUGGGCUACACACGUACUACAAUGCUACGGACAAAGGGCAGCAAGCUCGCGAGAGUUAGCAAAUCCCAUAAACCGUGGCUCAGUUCAGAUCGUAGGCUGCAACUCGCCUACGUGAAGGAGGAAUCGCUAGUAAUCGCAGGUCAGCAUACUGCGGUGAAUACGUUCCCGGGCCUUGUACACACCGCCCGUCACACCAUGGAAGUUGGCCAUGCCCGAAGUCGUUACUCCAACCCUUGUGGAGGAGGACGCCGAAGGUGGGGCUGAUGACUGGGGUGAAGUCGUAACAAGGUA
rnacentral:rRNA from 1 species